UACGAAGGGUGCUAGCGUUGUUCGGAAUUACUGGGCGUAAAGCGCGCGUAGGCGGCUAUUCAAGUCAGAGGUGAAAUCCCUGGGCUCAACCCAGGAACUGCCUUUGAAACUGUAUAGCUUGAGUGUCGGAGGGGAUAGCGGAAUUCCUAAUGUAGAGGUGAAAUUCGUAGAUAUUAGGAGGAACACCGGUGGCGAAGGCGGCUAUCUGGACGACAACUGACGCUGAGGCGCGAAAGCGCGGGGAUCAAACAGG
rnacentral:rRNA from 1 species